rnacentral:rRNA from 1 species
UACGUAGGCAGCGAGCGUUGUUCGGAUUUACUGGGCGUAAAGGGUGCGUAGGUGGCGGGGUAAGUCUGGUGUGAAAGCUCCGAGCUCAACUCGGAAAAGCAUUGGAAACUAUCCCGCUUGAGGGUCGGAGGGGAGACUGGAAUUCUCGGUGUAGCAGUGAAAUGCGUAGAUAUCGAGAGGAACACCAGUGGCGAAGGCGAGUCUCUGGACGACUCCUGACACUGAGGCACGAAAGCUAGGGGAGCAAACAGG